rnacentral:rRNA from 1 species
UAGGGAAUCUUCGGCAAUGGGGGGAACCCUGACCGAGCAACGCCGCGUGAGCGAAGAAGGUUUUCGGAUCGUAAAGCUCUGUUGUUAAGGAAGAACGAGUGUGAGAAUGGAAAGUUCAUACUGUGACGGUACUUAACCAGAAAGGGACGGCUAACUACGUGCCAGCAGCCGCGGUAAUACGUAGGUCCCGAGCGUUGUCCGGAUUUAUUGGGCGUAAAGCGAGCGCAGGCGGUUAGAUAAGUCUGAAGUUAAAGGCAGUGGCUCAACCAUUGUAGGCUUUGGAAACUGUUUAACUUGAGUGCAGAAGGGGAGAGUGGAAUUCCAUGUGUAGCGGUGAAAUGCGUAGAUAUAUGGAGGAACACCGGUGGCGAAAGCGGCUCUCUGGUCUGUAACUGACGCUGAGGCUCGAAAGCGUGGGGAGCGAACAGG